CACACGACUCUCGGCAACGGAUAUCUCGGCUCUCGCAUCGAUGAAGAACGUAGCGAAAUGCGAUACCUGGUGUGAAUUGCAGAAUCCCGCGAACCAUCGAGUCUUUGAACGCAAGUUGCGCCCGAAGCCACCCGGCUGAGGGCACGCCUGCCUGGGCGUCACGC
rnacentral:rRNA from 2 species